rnacentral:snoRNA from 1 species
CAGUUUCACUUGGUGUUGGGUCUGAAAAAACUCAAACAUUGGGUGUUAUCAUCAGCUUCUUCUCCUUUAUAUCCACGAGAAUGGAGUCAAAUAACAGCACAACAUUU